rnacentral:rRNA from 1 species
UCCCUCAGUAGCGGCGAGUGAAGCGGGAAUAGCCCAUCGCUAAAUCCCCGCGCCCCAGCGGCGUGUGGGAAAUGUAGCGUGAGGAAGCCGUGGCUUACUGGAGACGUGGGGCCGACGUCCUUGUGAAGGAGGCUUUAUCCCAUAGAGUGUGUUAGGCCCCCACAGGCUCCCGUUUCUAGUGGCCUUAAGGCUUCUAAGAGUCGGGUUGUUUUGGAAUGCAGCCCAAAGACGGGUGGUAAACUCCAUCCAAGGCUAAAUACUAGGCACGAGACCGAUAGAUGACAAGUACCAUGAGGGAAAGUUGAAAAGAACUUUGAAGAGAGAGUUCAAUAGGACGUGAAGCUGCUGAGAAGUAAACGGAAAGGCCCCGCACACCGUGGCCGGGAAAUUCAGCGCAAUCUGGAGGUUUCGGCGCCCUGUUCCGUCUGUGUAUUCCCUCUAGGGAAGCCUGGCGGAGCGGGUCGAAGCAGUCGCCAGUCGCGCGCAUUUUUCCCGUGCCUAUGGGGUUGGCGACCGACCGUUGACGGCCGAUUUAACGCGGCGAUGACAGGUAGCUCACCCCGUUUCGGCGGGGAGGGAACGUAUAGUCUCGCCGUCUGCGUCGGCUGCAAGGUCGAGGAAAGAUGACCACGUGCCGUGCCUGCUCAGGUCUUCGGACCUUGGGGCUGGAGCCGCCGGACUCCCGCUCGUGCGGCGUACGGGGACUGUCCUCAGUGCCCGCUCGCCCGUGCGGUCGAGAAAGGCCGGAUCGCCUCUCAGGUGCAUGGGGUCGGCCAACUUGGCCGGGCGCCUUUUCGACCCGUCUUGAAACACGGACCAAGAAGUCUAACGGACACGCAAGUCGAAGGGCCGUAUACGAAGCCCGAAGGCGUAAUGAAAGUAUAAGACGGUGUAGGCCGUCCUAAGUGGGAUCCCUUUCCUCUGGGAGGGGCGCACCACCGCCCCGUCUCGUCUGCUUUGCUCGGUGAGGCGA